rnacentral:rRNA from 1 species
CGAUGUCGGCUCAUCACAUCCUGGGGCUGUAGUAGGUCCCAAGGGUUGGGCUGUUCGCCCAUUAAAGUGGUACGCGAGCUGGGUUCAGAACGUCGGGAGACAGUUCGGUCCCUAUCCGUCGCAGGCGUAGGAAAUUUGAGAAGACCUGUCCGUAGUACGAGAGGACCGGGAUGGACGUACCUCUGGUGUACCAGUUGUUCUGCCAAGGGCAUGGCUGGGUAGCUAUGUACGGAAUGGAUAAGCGCUGAAAGCAUCUAAGCGCGAAGCCAACUUCAAGAU